rnacentral:ribozyme from 11 species
AUUUUUCUGUUUCUCUUUCUGCCCCUCUUCUCUCUUUCUUUUUUCUUUCCAUCGAUUUAUUUGUCUUUAUCUGAAGUGAAUCGUGUGGUGAGGAAUUCAGAAAAGAGA